rnacentral:lncRNA from 1 species
GGAAUUCAUCUUGAUACCUCAUCACUCUAAUAAACUGUGGACCGAGGGAGAAAAGUUCUUCAGCUUCCCUUUGGGAGACCAGUUUUGAAUCUACCUUUCCAGAGAGCAAGAGAGAGAGAGAGACAGCGAGAGCAGGAACAGGAGCGGGGAGUGGGAGACAGAAAGGAGGCCUCCCGCUAAGCUGGGAGCCUGAUGCAGAGCUCGAACCCAGGACAUCGGGACCGUGACCCAAACCGAAGGCAGAUGCGCAACUACUGAGCCACCCAGGUGCCCCUAAAAAUUACUUUUUCUUUAAAUUUCCUGAAAACAGUAAAAUUCCUUUGCCAUUCUUUUCUUCCCCCAUACAUUCCUCUUUACUGUACUUUCAAAGUAAGCCUUUUUCAUAACCCUGAAGUGGUUUUGUCUUUAGGUUGUCGGUAAAAGCAAGUUGGCCUCUUUGACUCAGCCCAUUGAGAUAUGAGUGCACUGAAUGUGUGCAAUGGGCCAUUGCCAGAGUUGCUGUUUUUCAAUUUAUGUCUGAGCUGGAAAAGUCCAAGGAGAAUUCUACUUGUGUAGGUUGCAUAAUAGCCAGCAAACAAAGCUGAACUGGAUAAGAGCUUAAAGAAAAGAAAAGAAACAUAAUGUGUGAUCGAGGCCACAGAUACUGUAGUACAGGGAGCGAGAUCCUGUCAAGGUGAAAAGAGGCUGCAGAUUUACUAAGUGACUCAGUCCUUUCU